rnacentral:rRNA from 1 species
CCUACGGGCGGCAGCAGUGGGGGAUAUUGCACAAUGGGGGAAACCCUGAUGCAGCGACGCCGCGUGGGUGAAGAAGCGCCUCGGCGCGUAAAGCCCUGUCAGCAGGGAAGAACGGUCACUGUGCUAAUCAGCAGUGAAUUGACAGUACCUGCAAAGGAAGCACCGGCUAACUCCGUGCCAGCAGCCGCGGUAAUACGGAGGGUGCGAGCGUUAAUCGGAAUUACUGGGCGUAAAGCGCUCGUAGGCGGUAUGUCAAGUCAAGGGUGAAAUCCGCGCGCUCAACGUGGGAAGUGCCUUUGAAACUGGCAAACUGGAGUGUGUGAGAGGAUAGUGGAAUUCAAGGUGUAGGAGUGAAAUCCGUAGAUAUCGGGAGGAACAUCAGUGGCGAAGGCGACUAUCUGGCACAUAACUGACGCUGAGGAGCGAAAGCGUGGGUAGCAAACAGGAUUAGAUACCCGAGUAGUC